AAAUAGCACUAGGGGUGCCACGGAAAGUUUUGUUUCCUUGGCUGAGAUCACACCCUCUGAACCUGAUUCGGGUUAUGCCGACGAAGGAAAGUGAAAGAGCGUGAUC
rnacentral:ncRNA from 2 species